CCAGCUCUUUUAAAACUUUGAGACAGGGUCCUGCUAAAUUGCCCAAGCUGCCCUUGAACUUGCAGUCUGGCUGCCUCAGCCUCCUGAGUAGCUGGGAUUACAGGCAUGGGCCACGAGCCCUGCCUUGAGUGCAGGUGGAGGGCGAACUUGAUCCUGUGAAGGCAGCAUUUGAUCCAACAAAAUGGGAGGGCAGGUCAGUGUGUGUGAAAAAGGUGUUUUUAAGGACAACUAGUCUGGGAGCAACGUGCAUCGAGGGAGACCACUUGGAGGCAUUCACAAGAAACCAGGCAGACAUCAGGUCGCAGUGCUGGAGUGUUAAGAGGAAAACUAGAAACCAACAGCAAGAGGAGUGAAAUUGUUCAUAGAAUACAGGAAUCUCCCAUGAUAACAGAAUUACUCUGUGAAGUGGUUAUUGUAAUUGACGCUCACCUGCAGUCAGUUUCUUCACAGCUUCACCAACACGAGGAGCUAGAAAACUAGAGAAGCAACAGUGAGGAGCCAGAGGGCUGCACUUCCUUUCUCAAGACCCAGAAACAACGGAGCGAGACCCAGAUUCCUGGAUCCACUGUUCCGGCUAUGGAGCACUCCUGGAAAACUUCCGGAUACGACGCUCUUCUUUUAGAAAGGCCUCUACGGGUCGGAGAUUUAGCUCCGUGGCACCGCGCCUGCCUGGCAAGCUCAAAUUCCCGAGUUCG
rnacentral:lncRNA from 1 species